rnacentral:rRNA from 1 species
CCUACGGGAGGCAGCAGUGAGGAAUAUUGGUCAAUGGACGCGAGUCUGAACCAGCCAAGUCGCGUGCAGGAUGACUGCCCUAUGGGUUGUAAACUUCUUUUAUAUGGGAAUAAACUGUUCCACGUGUGGCUUUUUGUAUGUACCUUAUGAAUAAGGAUCGGCUAACUCCGUGCCAGCAGCCGCGGUAAUACGGAGGAUCCGAGCGUUAUCCGGAUUUAUUGGGUUUAAAGGGAGCGUAGGUGGAUUGUUAAGUCAGUUGUGAAAGUUUGCGGCUCAACCGUAAAAUUGCAGUUGAUACUGGCAGACUUGAGUACAGUUGAGGUAGGCGGAAUUCGUGGUGUAGCGGUGAAAUGCUUAGAUAUCACGAAGAACUCCGAUUGCGAAGGCAGCUUACUAAACUACAACUGACAUUGAGGCUCGAAAGUGUGGGUAUCAAACAGGAUUAGAUACCCUUGUAGUC